rnacentral:lncRNA from 1 species
AGAAGUUGGCCUACAUGUACAUCCACGAGAUCGUGGCACGCCAUGGGGUUCCGGUCUCCAUUAUCUCUGACCGGGAUGUUAGGUUCACCUCUCAGUUCUGGCAGAAGUUCCGUGAGGAACUGGGCAUACAGCUGCACUUUUGCAUGCGACCAGAGAACUGGAAGUUAGAUAGGAUCAAGGGUGAAAACACCCGCUUUGUGCAGGAUAUCCGGGGAUUAUUGACCCGAUGCAGUCGGGUAUGGGUUCCGAUGACUGGUGGGGUCAGAUAGACAGUCAUGGAGGAGGCUCAUAAGUCUCAUUUCUCUAUUCACCAGGGGGCCACCAAGAUGUUCCCAGAUUUGAAUUUGAGUUAUUGGUGGCCAUGUAUGAAGCUAGAAAUCGCUUGGUAUGUCGAGAGGUAUUUCACCUACAGGAUGGUCAAGGCCAAGCAUCAGAGGCCGUAUGGUACGUUGCAGCCUCUAGAGAUUCCCAUGUGGAAAUGGGAACAGAUCACGAUGGACUUCAUUACCAAGUUGCUGAGGACGGCAAAGGGAUUUGAUGCUAUAUGGGUCAAUGUAGAUCGAUUGACCAAGAGUGCCCAUUUCUUGGCAAUUCAGGAGAGUUCGUCGGCCGAGAAGUUGGCCUACAUGUACAUCCACGAGAUCGUGGCACGCCAUGGGGUUCCGGUCUCCAUUAUCUCUGACCGGGAUGUUAGGUUCACCUCUCAGUUCUGGCAGAAGUUCCGUGAGGAACUGGGCAUACAGCAGCACUUUUGCAUGCGACCAGAGAACUGGAAGUUAGAUAGGAUCAAGGGUGAAAACACCCGCUUUGUGCAGGAUAUCCGGGGAUUAUUGACCCGAUGCAGUCGGGUAUGGGUUCCGAUGAAUGGUGGGGUCAGAUAGACAG